GUUAGGAAUAUUGGACAAUGGGCGCAAGCCUGAUCCAGCCAUGCCGCGUGAGUGAUGAAGGCCUUCGGGUUGUAAAGCUCUUUAGUCCACGAAUAUAAUGACUGUAGUGGAAGAAUAAGCCCCGGCUAACUUCGUGCCAGCAGUCGCGGUAAUACGAAGGGGGCGAGCGUUAUUCGGAAUCACUGGGCGUAAAGCGUGCGUAGGCUGUUUUGUAAGUCAGAAGUGAAAGCCCAGGGCUUAACCCUGGAAUUGCUUUUGAAACUACAAGACUCGAAUUCGGGAGAGGAUAGCGGAAUUGUCAGUGUAGCAGUGAAAUGCGUAGAUAUUGACAGGAACACCAGUGGCGCAAGCGGCUAUCUGGACCGAUAUUGACGCUGAGGCACGAAAGCGUGGGGAGCAAACAGGAUUAGAUACCCGGGUAGUCC
rnacentral:rRNA from 1 species